AUUGAACGCUGGCGGCAGGCCUAACACAUGCAAGUCGAGCGGAUGAAGGGAGCUUGCUCCUGGAUUCAGCGGCGGACGGGUGAGUAAUGCCUAGGAAUCUGCCUGGUAGUGGGGGAUAACGUCCGGAAACGGGCGCUAAUACCGCAUACGUCCUGAGGGAGAAAGUGGGGGAUCUUCGGACCUCACGCUAUCAGAUGAGCCUAGGUCGGAUUAGCUAGUUGGUGGGGUAAAGGCCUACCAAGGCGACGAUCCGUAACUGGUCUGAGAGGAUGAUCAGUCACACUGGAACUGAGACACGGUCCAGACUCCUACGGGAGGCAGCAGUGGGGAAUAUUGGACAAUGGGCGAAAGCCUGAUCCAGCCACGCCGCGUGUGUGAAGAAGGUCUUCGGAUUGUAAAGCACUUUAAGUUGGGAGGAAGGGCAGUAAGUUAAUACCUUGCUGUUUUGACGUUACCAACAGAAUAAGCACCGGCCAACUUCGUG
rnacentral:rRNA from 1 species